rnacentral:misc_RNA from 1 species
GAUGAAGAACGCAGCGAAAUGCGAUAAGUAAUGUGAAUUGCAGAAUUCAGUGAAUCAUCGAAUCUUUGAACGCACAUUGCGCCCCUUGGUAUUCCGAGGGGCAUGCCUGUUCGAGCGUCAUUAUAACCCCUCAAGCUCAGCUUGGUGUUGGGGCCUGCUGCACUGGCAGCCCUUAAAAUCAGUGGCGGCGCCAUCUGGCUCUAAGCGUAGUAAUUCUUCUCGCUAUGGAGUCCUGGUGGAUGCUUGCCAUCAACCCCCAAUUUUUCUAUGGUUGACCUCGGAUCAGGUAGGGAUACCAGCUGAACUUAAGCAUAUCAAUAAGCGGAGGA